rnacentral:lncRNA from 1 species
CCUGAGGUCAGGAGUUCGAGACCAGCCUGGCCAACAUGUAUGCUUUCUCGUCUGAACACACAAGGAAGAAAAGAAGGAUGGCUCCUGUACGUGAAAGUGACCCCUGCAUAUAGUGCCUGAAAUCAGAGGAAGCUUGUCAGUGUGGGCAGACACCACGAGCAGACCAAUUUGACAUUGUGCUUCUCUUUUAACCUCUUGAAAAUUAAUGAAAGUUAUCUGAUGAAGAUCCUUACAUUAAUUGCUCCCGAUUAAGGUUUAAAACCUUGGUUUACUGUGGGGUAAAUUUAUGUUUUUGAUAGUCAUCCAAAAUCUUUGUACGCUUUCAGUUUCAUUACAGAAUAAAAAACAAAUUUACCACAAUG